CCCUUAGAUGUCCUGGGCCGCACGCGCGCUACACUGACGGAGCCAGCGAGCUUACCCCUUUGCCGAAAGGCAUGGGAAAUCUUUUGAAUCUCCGUCGUGCUGGGGAUAGAUCAUUGCAAUUAUUGAUCUUGAACGAGGAAUUCCUAGUAAGCGCAAGUCAUCAACUUGCGUUGAUUAUGUCCCUGCCCUUUGUACACACCGCCCGUCGCUACUACUGAUUGGGUGUUCAAGUGAGAUGCUUAGACCCUUGUUGCAUGGUUCAUUAUUGUGCUCCGAAAGGAAAAAGUUUCAAGCUUGAGUGUCUAGAGGAAGUAAAAGUCGUAACA
rnacentral:rRNA from 1 species